UUCAGGUCUUCUGAAUGCAUUUCCAGACGGAUCUGCUGAAUUUUAGUUGAGGAAAAACCUGAUGAGUCACGUGGAGCAAAUCUUAGCAUUGUGGUCUCUUCAAUUCUCUACUUUACUUUGAAUGAAAAUACCUGCUCUCUUCAUUACUACUGCUGAAGAAUUCCUGGGAAAAUGUUGAAAUCAAGUCUCUGAUGAGAUAAUACUAGUCCUAACUCUUAAACAAAAUCGAAGCUCACACUUAAUGAAGUUCCAAUGAUGUGUUCUCAGAAAAAGACCCAAUAAAGAAGUUCCCAGAUGAGUACAACAUGCACUUGACUUUUGUCUAUAAUAGCAAUCACUCACUGAAACGUUUUCCACAUGUUUAGGUAUUUCCUCAUCUAUCUAUAGGAAAGGCCUCAAAGGAGUAAGACCCAUAGU